CAGUGUUUGGUUUGUCCAUUCUGGGCUACUGUAGAAACAUGGCGGUGUGACACGGUGGACUCCGUGGGUGAGGACCUGCUCCCUAUGUAAAUAUAAACAGCUCUACAAGGUGGUGGUGUUGAGACAGCUCUUCUGUCCCCUGUUCACCCACUCCACAGUCUGAAGAUGCCUCUCUAAGACUUGCUCACUACUCGUGAUUCUCAUCAGAAGAUGCAAAAGAAAGACAGCACAUUUCCAUGUCCAGGUGUCGACUCGUCCUCAGGCAUCUUCAUCACAGAGGACACCAUCUUAUAGAUCGCC